rnacentral:rRNA from 1 species
CUUGCUCUUAUAAGUUAGUGGCGCACGGGUGAGUAAUAUAUAGCUAAUCUGCCUCUUAGUAGAGGAUAACAGUCGGAAACGAUUGCUAAUACUCUAUACUUCUGCUUUACAUAAGUAAAGUAGAGAAAGUUUUUCGCUAAGAGAUGAGGCUAUACUGUAUCAGCUAGUUGGUAAGGUAACGGCUUACCAAGGCUAUGACGCAUAACUGGUCUGAGAGGAUGAUCAGUCACAUUGGAACUGAGACACGGUCCAAACUCC